rnacentral:rRNA from 1 species
UUGGAGGGCAAGUCUGGUGCCAGCAGCCGCGGUAAUUCCAGCUCCAAUAGCGUAUAUUAAAGUUGUUGCAGUUAAAAAGCUCGUAGUUGAAUUUCGGGAUCAGUUGAUCGGUCGUGCCUCGGUACGUACUGGUCAAAUUGAUUCCUACCUUCUGACGAACCACGAUGUCAUUAAUUUGAUGUCGCGGGAAAUCAGGACUGUUACUUUGAAAAAAUUAGAGUGUUUAAAGCAGGCUCGCGCUUGAAUACAUUAGCAUGGAAUAAUGAAAUAGGACGUUUGAUUCUAUUUUGUUGGUUUCUAGGAUCGACGUAAUGAUUAAUAGGGAUAGUUGGGGGCAUUAGUAUUCAAUUGUCAGAGGUGAAAUUCUUGGAUUUAUUGAAGACUAACUACUGCGAAAGCAUUUGCCAAGGAUGUUUUCAUUAAUCAAGAACGAAAGUUAGGGGAUCGAAGACGAUCAGAUACCGUCGUAGUCUUAACCAUAAACUAUGCCGACUAGGGAUCGGAUGAUGUUAAUUUUUUAAUGACUCAUUCGGCGCCUUACGGGAAAC